rnacentral:rRNA from 1 species
CGAAAUGCGAUAAGUAAUGUGAAUUGCAGAAUUCAGUGAAUCAUCGAAUCUUUGAACGCACCUUGCGCUCCUUGGUAUUCCGAGGAGCAUGCCUGUUUGAGUGUCAUUAAAUUCUCAACCUUUAUCAACUUUUGUUGAUAAUGGCUUGGAUGUGGGGGUCUAUUUUGCUGGCUUCACAGAUAGUCAGCUCCCCUUAAAUGCAUUAGCCGGUGCCCCGCGUGGACUGUCUAUUGGUGUGAUAAUUAUCUACGCUAUGGACAUCUGCAAUCAUAUGGGUUUGCACUGCUUCCAAUAGUCUGUUGAUUCAGACAAUACAUGACAAUUUGACCUCAAAUCAGGUAGGACUACCCGCUGAACUUAAGCAUAUCAAUAAGCGGAGGAAAAGAAACUAACAAGGAUUCCCCUAGUAACUGCGAGUGAAGCGGGAAAAGCUCAAAUUUAAAAUCUGGCGGUCUCUGGCCGUCCGAGUUGUAAUCUAGAGAAGUGUUAUCCGCGCUGGACCGUGUACAAGUCUCCUGGAAUGGAGCGUCAUAGAGGGUGAGAAUCCCGUCUUUGACACGGACUACCAGGGCUUUGUGAUGCGCUCUCAAAGAGUC